GGCUACAGGCAGAAGAGGUGGGCUGGGGAGCUAGCCUCCCAAAGUGGCAGCUUCACCCACCGCCCAUGACAGCAGGUAAGAGCGGGUCGGCUCCCGCACACCCAGUGCGCACUGCAGUUUCCCUAUGCAGGGGCUGUAUUCACAGAGCUGAAUGUGCCGGUGCCGCGCAUUCUGUGUGAGGGAGAAGGUACGGGGGUCUCUGAGGGGAACUGUGACUUUUUGCCACCAUGAAGCGGGCCAGGUGGCUUGGUAUCCUUUGCUGCCUCGUUCCCCCCCCCCCACUCCUGGGCUGCGAACCCGGGCUGCCAUCGGGCUUAGGGACAGCAGUUUAAUAAUACUGCGUAGGACCCCAUAAUUCCUAAGGAUGUCCCUGCUCACCUCACUUCUUCCCAUCCUACUCUGGCCCUGCCCCACCUCUUCCUGCCCCAUUCUGUCCCCUCCCGCCCAGUUCCUUCCCCUCCCCACCAUCACCUCCUAAAUACCGCUGAACAGCUGAUCACUGGCAGGCAGGAAGUGGUGGCAUCUGGGAUACGUUUACACUGCAAGUGAAGUCUGGGAUAUGUUUACACUGCUGAAGGUGUGAUUGUAGCUUUAAUCUAGCCAGCAUGGGCUACAAGAGCUGUAAAGUAGAUGUGGUGGCAUGGGGUUCAGUAUAUUCACAUGCAUACCCAGGGUGCAUGGUGGGCUUGUCCCUUCCCGUCCUACUUUUCUUUGACUCUAUGAAACAUUUUGUUUGACCCAAAAUGUAUUUUAGAUAAGGUGGAAAAGUGAAGUACUAACCACCUUGUGAUCAUUAAAAUCCCAUGGCACUUUUUGCAAAAACAGAGGUGUUAGGUAAAAUUUUAAAAAAUACCUAAUUGAUUUCGGAGGCUAGAUCCCAUUUUCAAAGUGAUGUAGGCACUUAGUAGGAGCAUAAGUCUCAUUUAUUUUUAAUGAUUCAUUACCUUCUAAUUUGAUUAAUUAAAUUGUAUAUUUAAAAUUUCCCUUUUUGUUUUGUAUAUGAAAUCCUUCAGUCCCCAUCUUAUACUGUUGUGUAGCACUGCUGGUGCAUUAUACUGUUGUGUAGCAUUGUGUAGCUAAAAUGCUGCUAUGUUCCACUGCAGAAGAGGCUGCUUCUCAGUGAUGUGUGAGGAAAUUUCUCUCUCUCGUUUAUAAAUUGCUUUGGGAGCCUUCUAGAUGGACAGAGUCACUGCUUCCCAGGAUAGAAUUACCCAUCACAAAUUGUUUUGAAUCAGGAGAUGUAUGAAGUGCUGGAUAAAAAGGGAUGGACAAAUUGCUGUGUGACGCUGUCUGGACAAGAAGAUAACAAUUCUGAUAAGGACGAGAGGAAGACAGAAAAUAGAGGAGAUGUAAUGUUUUUCACUGAACAGUGUUUAUGGUAUCUAUGCUAGAAAUACUGUUAUUCAGGGGAGGAAUACAAUGAAAGGAAAGGAUUUUGUUUUAAUGCCAUACCACGGCAAGCAUUGAGCCUGCUCAGCUCAGCUCACUGUCACCAUGGCUGUU